AAGUCGUAACAAGGUUUCCGUAGGUGAACCUGCGGAAGGAUCAUUAUUACGUAUCCACGUACCAAACCAAAUAGUGAACUGUUUCCCUUCUGAUGAGGAUUUUCUGCGAGUGUGAGAUUUUAAUCAAAAUGCAUGGUGAGGGGACUUCGGUCUCGCUUCAAAGAAAAACGCACUCGGUCCUGGUUGGAAGUAAUUCUAGCCAGCUAGCUUAUCAGAUGUGGUUUAUAAAAAUCUUGACAUUUUUCUACCAUCACUAUGCGAAAACAAUUAUUAACCCCUUGUAAACAACUGAACUAAAAUACGGAGAACAAUAGCCUUAACAGGUUGUUUUGAUCUCUGGAUAACCGAAAUUUAAGAAACAACUCUUAACAACGGAUAUCUUGGUUCUC
rnacentral:misc_RNA from 1 species